CUAUUUUAUUCGAAUUGGUAGCCUCUACCUCCAAUUCGAGGAAUUACCCUAAUUCCUUAGUGGGUACUAGAAUCCACUUAGACUGCACACAAGCCCAACUUUGGUUGGCCAACCCAUAUACAUCUAAGGGUAGGUUCAUAACCAAUUGUUUCUCUAAAUAAUUACUAGUAAUUUUAAUUUUGCUCUAGAAACCUAAUCAGUGGGCUUUGGCCUCCACUGUAAGGAUCCGGUUAGGUCUAACCAUUAACAUGAUCAUACUUGGUGUAUCUAACCAACGAAUGAUUAAGCCCAACUUUGGUUGGCUCACCUAACCACCAUUAGAGAGACACUUCCAAGUCAUCAUAUGAUGAGUGAUAAUUCCAUUAGUCAACAAGCACCAGGCCUUUGGGUCUGCAAUGAUUAUUGAGUUAAUGGACUCAUUAUCAAACACCUUAAUGGGAGGCUAUAACUCAGUUAUCUCUAUAACUUUAUCAUUUUAAGGACCUAAUAAUUUUAGAGAAUUUAAAUAAUACAAAGGAUGAGGUCAGAUGAACCAGCUUAUCAUGAUCCUCCCACUGGCUUCACCAAGUCAGCUUAAGGGAGACCAUUAAAAGGGCU
rnacentral:lncRNA from 1 species